rnacentral:rRNA from 1 species
GACGAACGCUGGCGGCGUGCUUAACACAUGCAAGUCGAACGGAAAGGCCCUUCGGGGUACUCGAGUGGCGAACGGGUGAGUAACACGUGGGUGAUCUGCCCUGCACUUUGGGAUAAGCCUGGGAAACUGGGUCUAAUACCGAAUAGGACCACGCGCUUCAUGGUGUGUGGUGGAAAGCUUUUGCGGUGUGGGAUGGGCCCGCGGCCUAUCAGCUUGUUGGUGGGGUAAUGGCCUACCAAGGCGACGACGGGUAGCCGGCCUGGGAGGGUGACCGGCCACACUGGGACGGAGAUACGGCCCAGACUCCUACGGGGGGCAACGGUGGGGAUUAUUGCACAAUGGGCGCAAGCCUGAUGCAGCGACGCCGCGUGGGGGAUGACGGCCUUCGGGUGGUAAACCUCUUUCAAUAGGGACGAAGCGCAAGUGACGGUACCUAUAGAAGAAGCACCGGCCAACUACGU